AGAGAGCUGCAGCACCCUUUACCGUAGCGUAGCGUGCACUGGAUAACAAACAGCCAUUGGAAUUCACUCAAAAUGGACAACAGCCCUCUCAUGCCCGGCUACAUGAGAGCAACAUGAAGCAUGGAUGACCUAAGUGACUUCUUGAGACAGAGAAAUGUUCCUGAGGAAACCAUAGAGACCCUGGAACAUGAGAAGAUUGAUGCCAGCACCAUACUGCUGAUGACAGAUGAAGAAUUAAAAACCUACUUGCCAUCAUAUGGUGACCGCAUUGCAGCGUUACGAUUUUGUAGGAGGAAAGAAAGCGGCCACAACACUCGAACACUCGGAAAUCAAAGCUUUUGCAGCGCCUGAAAACAAAAUUAUCCAAAAGAAAACAUUGCGAUGAAGGAGGCAGCAGCACACAGGAAGGGGACCAUUCCCAACCACCUCAAAGACAGAGUGUUAUGAAGAAAAACAGAAAAAUUGAAAUAGGAUGGAUGAAUUAUGAUGAUGAAAAAGAGGAUUUUAAGCA